rnacentral:rRNA from 1 species
UCUGGUUGAUCCUGCCAGUAGUCAUAUGCUUGUCUCAAAGAUUAAGCCAUGCAUGUCUAAGUAUAAAUAGUAUACAGUGAAACUGCGAAUGGCUCAUUAAAACAGUUAUAGUUUAUUUGAUAAUUGACAAUUACAUGGAUAACCGUGGUAAUUCUAGAGCUAAUACAUGCUUAAACGCCCGACUUUAUGGAAGGGUGGUAUUUAUUAGACUGAAGCCAAUAUUCCUUGUGUCUAUUGCGGUGAUUCAUAAUAACUGAUCGAAUCUCUUUUUGAGAUAAAUCAUUCAAGUUUCUGCCCUAUCAGCUUUCGAUGGUAGUGUAUUGGACUACCAUGGCAGUAACGGGUAACGAAGAAUUAGGGUUCGAUUUCGGAGAGGGAGCAUGAGAAACGGCUACCACAUCUAAGGAAGGCAGCAGGCGCGUAAAUUACCCAAUCCUGACUCAGGGAGGUAGUGACAAGAAAUAGCAAACCGGGAACCUCAUGGUUUCACGGUAUUGCAAUGAGAACAAUUUAAAACCCUUAGCGAGAAUCAAGUGGAGGACAAGUCUGGUGCCAGCACCCGCGGUAAUUCCAGCUCCACUAGCGUAUAUUAAAGUUGUUGCAGUUAAAAAGCUCGUAGUUGAACCUCUGUCUGGGGCUAGUUUUGGCUUUGGUCAGGCUAGUUCUAGGCAUCCGCCUACAAGACUCAGAGGGCAUUCAGUUGUUCACUAGGAGGAGUAGGCAUUUUACUUUGAAAAAAUUAGAGUGUUUAAGGCAGGCAAUCGCCCGCAUAUAUUAGCAUGGAAUAAUAGAAUAGGACACUUUUCCAUUUCGUUGGUUAUUGGAAUCGUGUAAUGAUUAAUAGGGACAGUUGUGGGCAUUUGUAUUUAAUUGUCAGAGGUGAAAUUCUUGGAUUUAUUAAAGACAAACUAACGCGAAAGCAUUUGCCAAGGAUGUUUUCAUUAAUCAAGAACGAAAGUUAGGGGAUCAAAGACGAUCAGAUACCGUCCUAGUCUUAACUAUAAACUAUUCCGACUCAAUGUUUGACUGGCUUAUAUAACCAGUUGAGCGUUGUAUGAGAAAUCAAAGUCUUUAGGUUCUGGGGGGAGUAUGGUUGCAAAGCUGAAACUUAAAGGAAUUGACGGAAGAGCACAACCAGGAGUGGAUUCUGCGGCUUAAUUUGACUCAACACGGGGAAACUUACCAGGUUAAAACAAUAGUGGGAUUGACAGUUUGAGAGCGCUUUCUUGAUUGGUUGGGUGGUGGUGCAUGGCCGUUCUUAGUUGGUGGAGUGAUUUGUCUGCUUAAUUGCGUUAACGAACGAGACCUUAACCUGCCUACUAGACUGGCGAUCAUCAAUCGUUAGCUCUUCUUAGAGGGAC